rnacentral:rRNA from 1 species
CAUGAAGUUGGAAUUGCUAGUAAUCGCGAAUCAGAAUGUCGCGGUGAAUACGUUCCCGGGCCUUGUACACACCGCCCGUCACACCAUGAGAGUCGAUAACACCCGAAGCCUGUGAGCUAACCGCAAGGAGGCAGCAGUCGAAGGUGGGGUUGAUGAUUGGGGUGAAGUCGUAACAAGGUACC